rnacentral:lncRNA from 1 species
AGUGGAUGUGUCGUCUGACCGUAGGUUCUCUGGUCGAGCAAGUCUCCUGCGCUAUGGGAAGCUGAGGAGGUGCUUUCUUUCUUUCUGUCUCUGUCUCUCUUUCUUUACGUCUCUGUCUCUGUUGAGGUGCUUGCUUGCUUGCUUGCUUACUUUCUGUCUGUCUGUCUCUUUCUCUUUUUCUUUCUCUUUCUCUCUUUCCUUUCUUUCUCACUGUGUCGCCCAGGCUGGAGUGCAGUGGCGCAAUCUCAGCUCACUGCAACCUCCGCCUCGCGGGUUCAGGCGAUUCUCCUGCCUCAGGCUCCCAAGUAGCUGGGACUACAGGCGCGCGCCACCAAACCUGGCUAAUUUUUGUAUUUUUAGUAGAGACAGGGUUUCACUAUGUUGGCCAGGCUGGUCUCGAACUCUUGAGCUCAGGUGAUCCGCCCGCCUUGGCGUCCCAAAGUGCUGGGAUUACAGUCGUGAGCCACCGCGCCCGGCCAUCGAGGUGCUUUCAAUAAGUGCUUUUCGCGUAAGGUUGGACCGUGUGAGAGACCUUCCGAGCACUGCCUGAGCCUGCCAGGAGUUUACAGUCCAAUUGGAGAGAAAACAGCCCGGGAGAAUUAGAAAACAUCCAAAUGGUGCAACAGCGUGAUGAGACCACCAGUGGUGUGGGUCGUUAGGAAGUGGCUUCCUUUCUGACCUUGACUUUGCUGACAGGAUUUGACAUGGUCUCCUUGAAUUCUACCUCCUGGUUUUCUUAACUUGGACACCUUGAAGUGACUAUCUUUUCGCUACCUUUUGCUUUGACUGGCCAAAGCUCCUAAUACGCACUUCAGUCAACAAAGACUAAAGCUGGAUUACUUGGUAUCAUUUCUCUCUCUUUUUUUUUUUUUUUUUUUUUUUUCAAAAUAAUCCUUCUCUCCCAUUAGGGAAAGAUGAAUGAAGGAUAUACUGGAACUCUUUGUAGUAUCCUCGAAAUUCUUUAAAUGGAAAGUCAUUCCAAAAUAAAAACUUGAAUUUAUUGGAGGAUGGCUGCAGAGUUUGCGGUGAGCCGAGAUCGUGCCACUGCACUCCAACCUGGGCGACAAAGUGAGACCCUAUCUCAAAACACACAAACAAAAAAAGGUUAAAGAUGGAAUCACCAUAUUAACCAGCAAUUCCACUGCUAGGUAUAUACCCAAGAAAAUUGAAAACGUUUGUCCACACAAAAACUUGUACAUGAAUGUUCACAGCAGCAUUAUUCAUAAUAGCUAAAAAGUGGAAAUAACUGAAAUGUUUAUCAACUAAUGAAGGGAUAAAUAAAUGUGGUAUAUUGGAAUAAUGUACUAAUAAUUCCGCUGGUACAAUGGAAUAUUAAUCUGGCAACAAAAGGAAAUACUACAACAUGAAUGACCCUUGAAACAGAUUUAGUGAAAGGAUCCAGUCACAAAAGACAAAGCAUUGCAUGAUUCCAUUUAGGUGAAAUAUCUAGAAUAGACAAAUCCACAGAGAUGGAAAUCAGUGGUUGCCUAGGGCUGGGAGAGUUGGGGAAAAUGGGGAGUGGCUGCUAAUGGGUAUGGAGUUUCUUU